rnacentral:rRNA from 1 species
UACGGAGGGUGCGAGCGUUAUCCGGAUUCACUGGGUUUAAAGGGUGCGUAGGUGGGAAUGUAAGUCAGUGGUGAAAUCUCCAAGCUUAACUUGGAAACUGCCGUUGAUACUAUCUGUCUUGAAUCCCGUGGAGGUGAGCGGAAUAUGUCAUGUAGCGGUGAAAUGCUUAGGUAUGACAUAGAACACCAAUUGCGAAGGCAGCUCGCUACACGAAUAUUGACUCUGAGGCACGAAAGCGUGGGGAUCAAACAGG